UAGCAGUAGUCGUGCGCAGGUGAGAACAGAUGAUCAUUUGGUUGCAAAAUAAUUGUAAACAAGCGAAUCAUUGUUUAAAUUAUAAGUGAUUGAAAAACUCGAUCAACUUUUUCUCUUCGGAAUAUAAAAGUGUGAAAAACAAGGAAUUUUUUGGUUCAUGUAUUUCCAAACAACUUUGAGGGAGCUAAAAUAAUUUUGAAUUAAAGGCUUAAGCAGAAACUUCCAAGUUUCGCAUAUGAUAAAUUUAUCUUCUCAGGCAUUGCCUGGCUAUAGAUUUAAAGCAAUGUCUGUUGGGACAAAACGAAUUUCAUCAACAGAAAUGUUUCAAGUAUUGUUGGGUGAAAUGAAUUCCAGUGGCAAUCUUAAUGCAAAUAUUAUACGUCACUUUUGACCCCAAGAAUUAAAGGCAAAUUGGUGGCACAAAUUCAACGUAAUGGGACCAUCCAUAAACCACGUAGCUCCGAUUUUUAAACUUUUCGACCCCUCCCCUCCCCCACGUAGCUUAACGUAGCAUAUUACCGAACCCCCUCCCCCCUACCUAAUGAA